GGAGAGGUGCGAGAGUGGCUGAAUCGGGCGGUCUCGAAAACCGUUGUGCCCUUACGGGUACCGUGGGUUCGAAUCCCACCCUCUCCG
rnacentral:tRNA from 1 species